rnacentral:rRNA from 1 species
ACGGGAGGCAGCAGUGAGGAAUAUUGGUCAAUGGACGGAAGUCUGAACCAGCCAAGUCGCGUGAAGGAUGAAGGUAUUAUGUAUUGUAAACUUCUUUAGCAGUGGAGUAAUAAGGGGAUCGCGAUCCCUGAUGCAAGUACACUGAGAAUAAGGAUCGGCUAACUCCGUGCCAGCAGCCGCGGUAAUACGGAGGAUCCGAGCGUUAUCCGGAUUUAUUGGGUUUAAAGGGUGCGCAGGCGGUUUUUUAAGUCAGUGGUCAAAUCGCGGAGCUCAACUCCGUCCCGCCAUUGAUACUGGGAGACUUGAUUGCGGUCGAGGUUGGCGGAAUUCGUCGUGUAGCGGUGAAAUGCAUAGAUAUGACGAAGAACACCGAUUGCGUAGGCAGCUGACCAGGCCGUAAAUGACGCUCAUGCACGAAAGUGCGGGGAUCGAACAGGAUUAGAUACCCUGGUA